GCGAAAGUGGCGGAAUUGGUAGACGCCUUGGAUUUAGGUUCCAGUGCCGCAAGGCGUGCGGGUUCGAGUCCCGCCUUUCGCA
rnacentral:tRNA from 1 species